rnacentral:rRNA from 1 species
GACGAACGCUGGCGGCGUGCUUAACACAUGCAAGUCGAACGGAAAGGCCCUGCUUUUGUGGGGUGCUCGAGUGGCGAACGGGUGAGUAACAAGUGAGUAACCUGCCCUUGACUUUGGGAUAACUUCAGGAAACUGGGGCUAAUACCGGAUAGGAGCUCCUGCUGCAUGGUGGGGGUUGGAAAGUUUCGGCGGUUGGGGAUGGACUCGCGGCUUAUCAGCUUGUUGGUGGGGUAGUGGCUUACCAAGGCUUUGGCGGGUAGCCGGCCUGAGGGGGUGACCGGCCACAUUGGGACUGAGAUAAGGCACAGACUCCUACGGGGGGCAGCAGGGGGGAAUAUUGAACAAGGGGCGGAGGCCGGAUGCAGCAACGCCGCGUGCGGGAUGACGGCCUUCGGGGUGUAAACGGCUUUCGCCUGUGACGAAGCGUGAGUGACGGUAAUGGGUAAAGAAGCACCGGCUAACUACGUG